UACGUAGGGGGCUAGCGUUGUCCGGAAUCAUUGGGCGUAAAGAGCGUGUAGGCGGCCCGGUAAGUCCGCUGUGAAAGUCGGGGGCUCAACCCUCGAAUGCCGGUGGAUACUGUCGGGCUAGAGUGCGGAAGAGGCGAGUGGAAUUCCUGGUGUAGCGGUGGAAUGCGCAGAUAUCAGGAGGAACACCGGUGGCGAAGGCGGAUCUCUGGGCCUUACCUGACGCUGAGGCGCGAAAGCUAGGGGAGCAAACAGG
rnacentral:rRNA from 1 species